rnacentral:misc_RNA from 1 species
GAAAUGCGAUACGUAAUGCGAAUUGCAGAAUUCAGUGAAUCAUCAAAUCUUUGAACGCAAAUUGCGCUGGAUGGAUAGGCCAUUCAGCAUGUUUCUUUGAGCAUCGUUUCUACCUCAUUCCUCUGCGGCUUCGGUUGCGGAAUGGAAUGGAAAAUGGGCGUCUUCGUCUUUCCAAAAGACGAAGUCGCUUUAAGAAUCGUUGAGUUUUCAUACAACACAACUAAUCCUUUCUGCAUGCGCAGUUGCCGGGUUAGCGAAGUGGAUAAAAUUCUUUUUCUAACUUUGCUAAGCUAGCGACUCGAAGCGGUCAGGUGUGUUGACAGAUAAACUCGGUGGAAAUGAAUGAAGAGGAGAGAGAGAGACUACUCUUUCUGUCCUUUUUGAAUUAGAUCUCAAAUGA